rfam:Oryza sativa Japonica Group DNA, chromosome 2, cultivar: Nipponbare, complete sequence.
AAUAAGUGCAGUUUUACACUAUUCAUCUUCAACAUUUGACCGUUCGUCUUUUAUGAAAAAAAUUUUAUGAUUACUAUUUUUAUUGUUAUUAGAUGAUAAAAUAUGAAUAGUACUUUAUGUGUGACUAUUUUAAAAAAAAAUUCAUAAAUUUUUUAAAUAAGACGGAUGGUCAAACGUUGGACACGGAUUUCCACGGCUGCACUUAUU